UACGUAGGGUGCAAGCGUUAAUCGGAAUUACUGGGCGUAAAGCGUGCGCAGGCGGUGAUGUAAGACAGAUGUGAAAUCCCCGGGCUCAACCUGGGAACUGCAUUUGUGACUGCAUCGCUAGAGUACGGCAGAGGGGGAUGGAAUUCCGCGUGUAGCAGUGAAAUGCGUAGAUAUGCGGAGGAACACCGAUGGCGAAGGCAAUCCCCUGGGCCUGUACUGACGCUCAUGCACGAAAGCGUGGGGAGCAAACAG
rnacentral:rRNA from 1 species